rnacentral:ncRNA from 1 species
AUAAAGAGUAGAAAAUAAUGUGCUCAGGAGGACGGUGGCUGUGGAAGUUGGAGUCCACUAAGGAGUAACAACUCACCUGCUGAAUCAACUAGCCCUGAAAAUGGGUGGUGCUGGA